GAGAAGUUCGUUCUGGUGUUU
rnacentral:miRNA from 1 species